CUCCCACGAACAUUUCAGUACGUGGCACUGAUGUAGCAGUUAGUUUGACAUCAACUAGUAAGCCCUGCUCCCACGAACAUUUUAGUACACGGCACUGAUGUAGCAGUUAGUUUGACAUUAACUAGUAAGCCCUGCUCCCACGAACAUUUCAGUACCUGGCACUGAUGCAGCAGUUAGUUUGACAUCAACUAGUAAGCCCUGCUUCCACGAACAUUUCAGUACAUGGCACUGAUGUAGCAGUUAGUUUGACAUCUGUGAUUGACCCCCACACUUGCACAGUAAAAAAAUGUCUAUGAAGCAUUUAUUCUUUGAAAAAAAAUCUGCAUCACAACAAACACCGCUCAAUAUGCUUUCAUAUACGGUAUAGCUGGUACGGCUGACCGUCCCUAUUAUUGUUGCGUCACCAUCAUGAUCCCCCAAUUGCUGACUGCUCUAAGCCUGUACAUGAUAAUAUAUAUCACAAUAUCUGCUUAGAAUUAACAUGCGAUACAUACUCAAGUAAAAUGAACAUUAAUAUCAAUCAAAUCUCAUUUUCUAACUUACACAAACCUGAACUCUAGUUAGAAUACACCCAUAUCAACCCUUCAUACAAAAUCAUAUCACUUUAUGUCACUUUGAACAUCAUAACUUAUUAACUAAAAAUUCAGUUGAUUUGCAGUUAAAACACACACUUAUUACAUAAAGUUCUGUGAGUUCUGGCCGGGGUGUUUUUUUACUAGGAUUCGGAUCCUAUACACCAAUACACAUAGAUAAGGUUACAUCGUAACUCAGUGAAGAGGUUUACCCAACAAACACAUACAUUAUGCCCAAAGUAAAGAUAUAACCUUUACAAAAAUGUACAUCAUAUUAAAUACAUCAAAAUCUAAUCAAGUAAAAACAAUGUAUUAUAUACACUGAUACGAUCUAUACCGUCACAAUAAAUCGUACUAUAAAACACACGCCCUCCUACUUUCACUCGCUCUCAAACAAUCACAUUCACUCAGAAACAUCUCGCAUUCUUCCACACUUUAACAAACAAGUCACACUUAUAAAGUUACAAACAGGGCUUUGACAACGAGCCAGUAACAUUUGUGAAACCAUUGACAGAGACCAGUGCCUCUAUAACAUUGCUGAUAUUUUGAUACAUUGUAGUACAGUGGGACCUUCAUUGUUUGGACAAAGUGGUUUCAAAAUAACACAUGAAAUAUUCAAACUUCCUUAAAUUUAGUUCGUGUAUACAGAAGUUAAAGAAAAAUCUGUUUUAACUGAUUUAUAUUGAGCAAAUAAGGAUAAUAUCAUCUUCUAAACAGUUAUAGGUCAUAAUUGUAUCGGUGGGAUUAUUAUUUGAAAAUGUUUAAAGAUCUAAUCUAUCACAAAUAAAAUUCAACAGAGAAGUCUGUGACAUUCCUACAGAAAAACAACUAUUGCACACAAAAAACAAGUCAAAGUAGAUGUGAUUUCAUCACAAAAAUUACCGCAAUGACAGUAUCUAAGUAUCUGAAAAACAUACACUCAUGAAAACAGUAACCUACAGCCCUGUAAACAGUAACCUGUAUUCCUGUAACAGUACGCUCCUAUAACCAGCCAGUACCAGCCACUACAAAAGUAUAACAUCUACUACAAUGGAGACAAACCUCACAGGAUGUGUGACAUACAUUAUAAAUAUAAACUCAGAAUUCUAUAAAUAGCUAUGGACUAGACAUAAAGAUUCCAGUCUGGAAUGCACCAAACAUAGAACAGAUUUAAUGAAUUUGUGGAGUGGUAGUAUUUAAGUUUUUAUUGAACAGAUGUAAAUGUCAUAAGUCAAUAAAUAGUUAUACAGGAUUUUGUCUGUUUUAUGUUAGCACUAGUCUAGCGAAAGGCAGAUUAGACUGUACGAUGUGUCUAAACGGGAAAUUGGCAAGUAAAAUAAUACCUUUAACCGAUAUUUUAAUAAAGGAUCCAGAGAUAAAAAAAGCAGUUAUAAGGAACAUGCUUAUUUAAUAUAAAUAUAUUUAUUUUUAAUUCUUGCUUGUAAGAAUGUCACAUGCUUGCUCCCUAUCAUAAGAAAUGUUCACAUGAAUCAUACAUUAUACAUUUUCCAUAAUGAAUUUUGGCUAACUGAAAUAAUUUCUGAAGAUCUCCUAGAGUUAAUUAUAAGUAAAUUUUACUAGGUAACUAAAGGGUACAAAUAACAGUAAUUAACUUAAGGGUAAUUGUAAGGGGAGAUAAUUGGAGAGUACUUGUAAGGGGAGAUAAUUGGAGAGUACUUGUAAGGGGAGAUAAUUGGAGAGUACUUGUAAGGGGAGAUAAUUGGAGAGUACUUGUGAGUGGAGAUAAUUGGAGAGUACUUGUGAGUGGAGA
rnacentral:lncRNA from 1 species